CAGCCGCCGCGGGAAUACGAAGGGUGCAAGCGUUAAUCGGAAUUACUGGGCGUAAAGCGUGCGUAGGCGGUGAGUUAAGUCUGCUGUGAAAUCCCCGGGCUCAACCUGGGAAUGGCAGUGGAUACUGGCUCGCUAGAGUGUGUCAGAGGAUGGUGGAAUUCCGAGUGUAGAGGUGAAAUUCGUAGAUAUUCGGAAGAACACCAGUGGCGAAGGCGGCUCACUGGCUCAUACUAGACGCUGAGGUGCGAAAGCGUGGGGAGCAAACAGGAUUAGAUACCCGUGUAGUCCCUGUCUCUUAUAC
rnacentral:rRNA from 1 species